rnacentral:rRNA from 1 species
AUUGAACGCUGGCGGCCGGCCUAACACAUGCAAGUCGAGCGAGCGGCGGACGGGUGAGUAAUGUCUGGGAAACUGCCUGAUGGAGGGGGAUAACUACUGGAAACGGUAGCUAAUACCGCAUACCAUCAGAUGUGCCCAGAUGGGAUUAGCUAGUAGGUGGGGUAACGGCUCACCUAGGCGACGCUCCCUAGCUGGUCUGAGAGGAUGACCAGCAACACGGGAACUGGGACACGGUCCAGACUCCUACGGGAGGCAGCAGGGGGGAAUAUUGCACAAGGGGGGCAAGCCGGAUGCAGCCAUGCCGCGGGGAUGAAGAAGGCCUUGGGGUUGGAAAGUAAGUUCAGCGGGGAGGCGUUACCCGCAGAAGAAGCACCGGCUAACUCCGUGCCAGCAGCCGCGGUAAUAC